UUCGAUGAAAUCGCCAGAUGUUAUACUC
rnacentral:sRNA from 1 species